CAGUGACAGACCUCUCUGUCUAGAUGCUGUCCAGUGAAGAGCUCCACUCUGAAUAGCUACAGAUGCAGCAGAGCAAACAACACUCCUCUGCUUGGAUAAUCAGAGGCUUUGACAGAAUGAAGUCCAGUUGCUUUUAGGUACAAGAGAAUAAACAAAUGUUCUUUAGUAGGAUCAAUUUUAAAAGAUGUCAACCAGAAGAUGUCCUUUGCUGCCGUGGCAGAAAACAUCAGAGUGAUAUCCAAGGACAGGAGGACUGAUGGAAAAGGAACUGUGAGGGGAAAUGUAGCAGGAGUUUAAAGAACUGUGUGAUAAGGAAGACUGUUUCAGCUUCAGCUUGACUCCUAUUGAAUGUGAGAGUGCUGCUGUGUUGUGAUGAUGACCGUGGUUAUAAACAAUUGCAAAUGGAUUUCUC